rnacentral:rRNA from 1 species
UACGUAGGGUGCAAGCGUUAUCCGGAAUUAUUGGGCGUAAAGCGCGUGUAGGUGGCCAAGUAGGUCCGCUGUGAAAACUUGAGGCUCAACCUCAAGCUGUCGGUGGAAACCCCUUGGCUAGAGUCCGGAAGAGGAGAGUGGAAUUCCUGGUGUAGCGGUGAAAUGCGCAGAUAUCAGGAAGAACACCAAUGGCGAAGGCAGCUCUCUGGGACGGUACUGACACUGAGACGCGAAAGCGUGGGGAGCGAACAGG